CCAGCAGCCCGCGCGGCGCCGAGGGGGCCUCGAAGCACGGCGGCGGCACCAUGCCGAAGUCCAAGCGGGACCGCAAGGUCUCCCUGACGCGGACGCCCAGGAAGGGGUUGGAGGCCAAGCAGGCGCUGAUCGCGGAGCUGCGGCGAUGCGUGGACACCUACAAGUACAUCUUCGUGUUCUCCGUGGCCAACAUGAGAAACAACAAGCUGAAGGACGUGC
rnacentral:lncRNA from 1 species